GAUGAACGCCGACAGAAUGCUUAACACAUGCAAGUCGAUGGGGAAGUGGUGCUUGCACCAUGGCAACCAUGGCGGACGGGUGAGUAACGCGUAAGGGACUUACCUGCAGGACUGGGAUAACAGGGGGAAACUCCUGACAAGACCGGAUAAUGUCAUGGAGCUGCAUGGCUUUAUGAUGAAAGGAGACGCCUGCGGAGAGCCUUGCGUCCUAUUAGCUAGUUGGUGAGGUAAUGGCUCACCAAGGCGAAGAUAGGUAGCCGGCCUGAGAGGGUGGACGGCCACAAGGGGACUGAGAUACGGCCCUUACUCCUACGGGAGGCAGCAGUGGGGAAUAUUGGACAAUGGGGGCAACCCUGAUCCAGCAAUUCUGUGUGCACGAAGAAGGUUUUCGGAUUGUAAAGUGCUUUCAGCAGGGAAGAAGUAAGUGACGGUACCUGCAGAAGAAGCGACGGCUAAAUACGUG
rnacentral:rRNA from 1 species